UGUAUUCUUCACUGACUCUGAAAACCUCAUCAACACAAUGCUACACACACCUGUCCAGAAAGAAGGCUCAGGUACAUUUAUAAAAGAUUGUCAGGCUGCAACAAGAAAAGAAGCCACAACCCACUGAGAAUGUGGAAGAAUAUAGAUGCUGACUUUUGAGUGGCUAAAACCAAUUCACAACACUUCUCUUGCAAACUGCUGCUUUUUCGACCCUUUGUCCAGCUAAAGGUUUUGAAGAAGCCUUUUGAAGGAAGCCAUUUGCUUUGCAUCCUUGUAAAAUUUCUACUUCAAUUUUUCAGUUUUGGACAUCCACUGUCAUAGGAAGAAAAGAAGCGAAGAGAAAGAAUUUUACCUCAUACUUUAGUAAAAAUACAGAAUUACGCUACAAGAGUUACUAACAUAGUUCACAGGUUAUAUACUUAAGCUUUUGCAUGUUUUAACAAUGGUUUAUUGAACAAACCA